CAAUAGCGUAUAUUUAAGUUGUCGCAGUUAAAAAGCUCGUAGUUGGAUUUCGGUUAAGAGCGACCGGUCCGCCGUUUGGUGUGCACUGGUUGGUUUUAACUUCCUGUAGAGGACGUGCUCUGGGUUUAACGACCUGGACUCGGAGUCUACGUGGUUACUUUGAAAAAAUUAGAGUGUUCAAAGCGGGCUUACGCUUGAAUAUUUCAGCAUGGAAUAACACUAUAGGACUCCUGUCCUAUUUCGUUGGUCUCGGGACGGGAGUAAUGAUUAAGAGGAACAGUUGGGGGCAUUCGUAUUUCAUUGUCAGAGGUGAAAUUCUUGGAUUUAUGAAAGACGAACUUCUGCGAAAGCAUUUGCCAAGGAUGUUUUCAUUAA
rnacentral:rRNA from 1 species